UCGCCUCUCCUUGACCAGCAAUGGAUCUUUCAACUCUAGUUUUCCCUUCAUACCACAGGGAAAACAAGAUCCUAGGAUCCGAUGAAGGAAUCACCACGCUCCCAAAGCACAUGGAAAACGCUUCGCUCCAUGACCAUCAAACCAAGGUUUGCUGCAACCCAGCAUGCCUCCAGUUAUUUUAAAAGGAUCAAAAAUUAAAUUCAGCAGAAGAAAUGCAAGACGUAUACUGAAGGCUGCAAAACACUACUGAAAGAAAUUAAAGUAUAUCUAAAUAAAUGGAAAGGCAUGCCAUGGUCAUGGAAGACAGGACUGUGAAGACGACAAUACUUUCCAAAUUCACGUACUGAGCCAAUACAAUCUCUACACCAAAAUCCCAGCCAGAUAAUUUGCAGAGAUUGACAAAGUGACCCUAAGAUUCACAUGGGAAAACAAAGGGCACAGAGUAGCCAAAACCAUCUUGGAAAAGAUCAAAUUUGGAGGACCCACACUUCUGAUUUCAAAACCUACUACAAAGCUAUAGUAAUCAAGGCAGGGUGGUACCUGCUAAGGAUAGACAUAUGAAUGAAUUAAUGGCAUAAAACUGAGAAUCCAGAAAUAAACCCAUAUAUUUAUGGCUGAUUGAUUUCCUGCAAGACUGCCAAGAUAAGUGAAUGGGGACAAUAGUCGUUUCAACGAAUGGUGCUGGGACAGCAGGACAGCCACUUAUAAAAGAAUGAAGUUGGACCCCUACCUCACACCAUAUAGGAAAAGUAACUCAAAAUGGACCAAAGAUCUAAAUGCAACAGAUAAAACUAUAUAAAACUUUUAGAAGCUAACGUAGGAAUAAAUCUUCAUGACCUUGGAUCAGGCAACAGUUUUUUAGAUACAACACCUAAAGCACACACACACACAAAUCGAAGAAAAAAACAGAUCAAUUACACUUCAUCAAAAUGGAAAGCUUUGGUUCUUCAAGGUGAAGCGGAGCAGGACCCUGUGGUCCUUGCCACCCCCAUGUCCUCAGCCUGCCUUUUGUGUGUGGAAAAACUUUAGCCAAAGAAUAAGUUUAAUCAGAGAAGUGAGAAAAUGCAGAAACAAAGGAAAACAGUCAAAGGAGACCAAAUAAUAAUAGGUUAGUCAUUAAGCAUAGUCAAGGACCUUUAGUUCCUCCUUAAGGGCUACAGAUAAUAUUCUGAGCCGUACCCUGUGAGCUGUCUUAUAGACAAUGAGACCCCCACCAGGUGGAAGAAUUUAACUACAUGAUGACCAGGCUGUAGCCAUGACAUAAGCUGCCACAAUUCCGAGAACUGGCAUCAGGGAAAUGGGAACAAACAGACCCUGGAACUGAAGAUUAACUGUACCUAAAAGAAUCAAGAUGACACUGGUCAGACCACUGAUGACCAAUUUUAAGAUGACUGUCAGAGCUGACUCUGCUAUUUCUGCAUGUUGCCCCCUCCCUCUGUCUAUAAAAGCUGUUGCCCACUGAUUGUCAGUGGGGGGAGUCGGCCUUUGGACAGGUGUCUGUCCUCCCCACCGGAUUGCCGGCAUCCAAAAUAAACUUUCCUUUCCACCAACCUGGCCCCUUUAUUGGCUUUUGAGCAGCGAGUAGCCGGACCCCACUUUCGGUUACAAAGGGACAGUAUAAGAAAGUAAAGACAACUCACAGAACUUGGAGAAACAACUCAAACAACUUGGAGAAAAUAUUUGCAAAUCGUAUAUCUGAUAAAGGGCUAGCAUUCAGAAUAUAUUAAAAACUCUUAAAACUCAACAGUAAGGACUUCCCUGGUGGCGCAGUGGUUGAGAAUCUGCCUGCCUAUGCAGGGGACAUGGGUUCAAGCCCUGGUCGGGGAAGAUCCCACAUGCCGCGGAGCAACAAAGCCCGUGAGCCACAACUACUGAGCUUGCAUUCCUGGAACCCGUGCUCUGCAACAAGAGAAGCCACCGCAAUAAGAAGCCCGCGCACCACAACAAAGAGUAGCCCCCGCUCGUCGCAACUAGAGAAAGCCCGCAUGCAGCAAUCGAAGAUCCAACGCAGCCAAAAAUAAAUAAAUAAAACAAGUAAAUUUAUUUAAAAAAACCCAAAAAACUCAACAGUAAAAAGAAAACCUGAUUGAAGAAUAGGCCAAGGAUUUAAAUAGACAUUUCUCCAUAAAGAGAUACAAAUGGCCAAUAAGCACAUGAAAAAUUGCCCAUUAUAUCCUUAGCCACUGAGGAAAUUAUAACCCAAAUCAUAAUGAGAUACCACUUCACCUCCACUAGGAUGGCUAUAACAAAAAAGGACAACAGCAAAUGUUGGCAAGGAUGUGGAGACACUGGAACCUCAAGUUGCUGGGAAGAAGGACAAUGGUGCAGCUGUUUUGACAAAGUUUGGCAGUUACUCAAAAAGUUAACAGAGUUACCACAUGACCCAGCAAUUCCACUGCUGGGUAUACACUAAGAGAACUGAAAACAUAUGUUCACACAAAAACUUGUGCGUGAAUGUUCAUUGUCGUGUUAUUCGUAACAGGCAAAAAGUGAAAACAACCCAGUGUCCACCAACCGAUGAUGGAUAAACAACGUGUGGUCCAUCCAUACAAUGGAGUAUUAUUCAGCCAUAAAAAGGAAUGAAGUCCUGACACAUGGUACAACAUGGGUGGAGCUUGAAAACAUUAAACUAAACGAAAGAAGCCAGCCACAAAACACCACAUACUGCAUGAUUCCAUUUACAUGAAAUGUCCAGAAUAGGCAAAUGCACGGAGACAGAAAACGGAUUAGUGGAUGCCGGGGCUGAGAGGAGGGAGGAAGAGGGAGUGAUGGCUAAGGGGUUCAGGGUUUCUUUGUGGGGUGAUCAAAAUGUUCUGGAUUUAGAUAGUGGUGAUGGUUGUAAAUACAACCUUAUAAAUAUGCUAAAACCCACUGAAUUGCAUGUGUUAAAAAGGUGAAUUGUAUGGCAUGUGAAUUAUAUCUCAGUUUAAAAGAAAAAGAGAUUACAGAAGCUACCGGAUAGACGUGAACACUAGAGAGAGUAUGCACAGUCAGAAGAAAAAGCUGACGCUGGAGCCCUGGACAAGAUGUUUUCCUUGUGAUGAGAAAACUCUUAGGAUUUACUCUCAACCGCUUUCAUGCAGCUGUCUGGGUUAAUUGUAUUAAUCACGUGGCACCUUGCAUUCUUAGUACUUAUUUAUCUCAUACCGGAAGGCUGCACCUUGUGACCACCUUCAUCCACCCCCAGCCCCCCGCCCAGAUCACCCCUCAUCCUGACUUUCUCUAGCAAAGCUUGACUGGCUGUUAAAUCCCAGGCUAACCUGUCACUUGAGCCCCAUGGAAUCCACGUGAUCUCUGUCUCAUUUGAAGAGUCGAUUCAUUCCCCUCGGAGAACCGAAGUGAGGAUCAAGUGGGGUUAUACACACGUCUGCGCACGCACACGUUUAUGUCAAAGCGGAAAGUGCUAGUGUUUUAGACUACUUUCUAGGGCACUUUUAGUUUCAUGGCAAAUUUGAGCGGAAGGUACAGAGAUGCCCCACUACCCCCUGCCCCCCUACAUGCACGGCCCCCCCACUAUCAACAUCCCCACCAGAAGCUACAUUGGCUACAAUCGAUGGACCUGCACUGACACGUCACCAUCCCCUGGAGCCCAGAGUUUACACUGGGAUUCGCUCUUGGUGGUACAUUCUGUGGGUCUGGACAAACGGAUGAGGACACAUAUCCCCCAUCACCGUAUGCUACAGAGUGCUGUCACCGCCCUGCAAACCCUCUGCCUGCCCACCUCCGUUCCCCGCCCCCAGCCCCGAAAGCCACGACCCGGUCACUGUUCCCAGAGUCCCGUCUCUCCCGGAAUGUCAUACAGUCGGAAUCACACAACACGCAGCCUUUCCUGACUGGCUCUUGCGCUCAGCAGUGUACCCUUAACACGGUCGGCAUCUUCUCGCCGUUUGAUAACUCGUUUCUUUGCAAUGCUGAGUGACAUUUCGUGGUCUGGCUAUGGCAGUUUAUUCAUCCGUUCGCCUACCGCAGGACAUCGGGGUUGCGUCCGAGUUUUGCUGACUGUGAAUAAAGCUGCUGUAAACACC